CAGGGCUAAAUACCUGAAGAAAUCCCAGCUAAGCCAAUUUCCAAUAGAAGAAAGACGUCUACUGGAGUCUUCUGCAGCAAGGCUACCAUUCUUGAGUUCCCCUCUCAAAAGAAUCCAGCGGAAAAGGCAGGAAUUUCAUCAUCUCAGGCAAGCUGCCAGGAAAGAACAAGCUCCCCUCUACUGAAAAAAACACCAAGGACAGAGGAAGUUCAGUUGCUGGGAGACUGCAGCUUUGAGAGCCUUGAAAUUUUAUGUGAUUGAAGAAGAGUUUGGCUGUUUGUUUUUGCUUUCUGGACAUCUGGUACCCUGAAAAAAAAAAGAAAGAAAAGAACUAGCUCAACUGAGCUGUUGAACAUCUGGAUAUUCUGAGCGAAUGACCACUCUAUGUAAUAAGGUCUUGAUGUGGCUCCUUCUGGAUGAUGCCUAGUUCGACAUAAGCUUAUGGAAAAAAAUAGUCUCCUGGCAAACAUAGAAGAGGAUCAUGGCUUUGGUGUAGUCUUUUCACAUCUACUGAUCCACGAACACAUACAGUCCAGCUUGCGUGGGUGAAUUAUGAUCAUAUUUUUCUGAACUGAUUCCCAGAGGGAUUUGACUCCAUGCUCCCUCAUGGGAGCAUCCCUGCAUUUACUAGGCCAAAAACCAAAUUCCUUAGUGCAUUAGGCAAGAGCAGGUAGAUCUGAUAGUAAUUUGUAUUUUCAUUCAGUAAUCUGUAUGAUGAUACCACUUCUCAAUUGCGGUGAGAGCAAUGUUUAUAUAUGUGCGUGUGCAUGUGUGUAUGUGAAGAUAUUUUAAGCUUUUUCUACACUAACGGUGACAAAAAGCAAACAUCAUAAAGAGGAUACAGGAGGAUAAUAAGAGUCAGCUGAAAUCAGUUCAUAACUGUAUGAGAAACUAACAAAUCUCUUGCUGUGCUGAACAACUUUUAGCAGUAAGGAUUGAUACGGAGUAUUGCCAAGAAUGUCUAGAUUGAUUGACAUUAUUUAUUAAAUAACAGACAGCAAUGAAAAACACUGUGUUUCAGUGGAGAAUGCAGAAGAAUGGCAAGGUGUGUGCGUGAUAUGGAUUCACAGUCACAAUAAGCAGUGAUGAAGUACAGUUGAGUGUUUCUUGGAGUGUUUGUUAAACUCAGGAGAGAGAUUCUGAGAAACACCUAGAUUACAAAUAGAAUAUUUUCAAGAUAAUAUUUUCAAGAUCUCCAACUGAAGACAUGAGCUGGUCAUGUGGUUAUAUUAAAAAGAGCAGACUUUGACUCCAGUCAAACCCAACUGGAUUUUGCCUUUAACCUUGAGGUGAAGGAGAGAUAUGGGAACCUGUAUCAUCACCAGAGGAAGCAUCAGUGGCACUGAUGGUUUUGUCAUGUUUCUUUCAUCCUAAAUGAUCAAUAUAAUUUUCAGAACCUUUGAGACACCAGUGUUCUUCUGUAAGGUUGGAUUGUGUGAAUCUGUUUUUUUUGUGGGCAUUUGGUUGCUGCAGUUAUGUAACACAUUUUCUGUGUGUUUUUUUAAAGAACAAGGGCUUCUGCAGGAUACUGCAGGAAAUAUCAAAAAACAGGUGUUUUUCAAAGGGAAUUGUCAGUUAUGCAUUUUCAAUUUAGCAAAAACUAGUAACUGUCUAUACAGUGAAUAAAGAAAAACAUGGUUUGAACAUUUCUAAAGCUAUUAAGGUAUCCUAUUUACACUUCUCUGUUUAGCUUAUCAAGGGGAAGAUGAUGAAAAAAUUAUUAAAAUUGAAUACAAGUUCUUUUUCCACAUUUCAGUGGCAGAAAUAUAACAAGUUUUCUGAAAAGUGAUAUUUGAGACAAAAAAUAUUUUAAUUAGAUUAUAUUUUUUAUUUUAAAAAAUGACUGAUUUUAGGCAUUGUCAUCCCUCCCAUCUCACUCAGGAUAUUGCAUCAUUUAGUUCCAAUUGUUGUUCCUGACAUUUCGUGAAUUGUCAUUUAGUCUAUCAUGAAUAAAGUCUUAAGUUCCCU
rnacentral:lncRNA from 7 species